rnacentral:tRNA from 1 species
GGCUGAGUGGCGGAAUGGCAGACGCUGGGGACUUAAAAUCCCCUGCCCGUAAUUGGGCGUAUGGGUUCGACUCCCAUCUCGGCCA